rnacentral:rRNA from 1 species
AUUGAACGCUGGCGGCAGGCCUAACACAUGCAAGUCGAGCGGGGUUUUCGGACCUAGCGGCGGACGGGUGAGUAAUGCGUAGGAAGCUACCCGAUAGAGGGGGAUACCAGUUGGAAACGACUGUUAAUACCGCAUAAUGUCUACGGACCAAAGUGUGGGACCUUCGGGCCACAUGCUAUCGGAUGCGCCUACGUGGGAUUAGCUAGUUGGUGAGGUAAUGGCUCACCAAGGCGACGAUCCCUAGCUGGUUUGAGAGGAUGAUCAGCCACACUGGAACUGAGACACGGUCCAGACUCCGACGGGAGGCAGCAGUGGGGAAUAUUGGACAAUGGGCGCAAGCCUGAUCCAGCCGUGCCGCGUGUGUGAAGAAGGCCUUCGGGUUGUAAAGCACUUUCAGCGAGGAGGAAGGGGUGAGUGUUAAUAGUACUCAUCUUUGACGUUACUCGCAGAAGAAGCACCGGCUAACUCUGUGCCAGCCGCCGCCGUAAUAC